UACGGAGGAUCCAAGCGUUAUCCGGAUUUAUUGGGUUUAAAGGGUGCGUAGGAGGGUGAGUAAGUCAGUGGUGAAAUCUUCGAGCUUAACUCGGAAACUGCCGUUGAUACUACUUGUCUUGAAUACCGUGGAGGUGAGCGGAAUAUGUCAUGUAGCGGUGAAAUGCUUAGAUAUGACAUAGAACACCAAUUGCGAAGGCAGCUCACUACACGAAUAUUGACUCUGAGGCACGAAAGCGUGGGGAUCAAACAGG
rnacentral:rRNA from 1 species